rnacentral:rRNA from 1 species
UACGAAGGGGGCUAGCGUUGUUCGGAAUCACUGGGCGUAAAGCGCUCGUAGGCGGAUCUUUAAGUCAGAGGUGAAAUCCCAAGGCUCAACCUUGGAACUGCCUUUGAUACUGGGGAUCUCGAGUCCGGGAGAGGUGAGUGGAACUGCGAGUGUAGAGGUGAAAUUCGUAGAUAUUCGCAAGAACACCAGUGGCGAAGGCGGCUCACUGGCCCGGUACUGACGCUGAGGCGCGAAAGCGUGGGGAGCAAACAGG